AGCCCAGUUCAGGAGGUAAGGCAUGAGGUGUUGUCCUUACAUUUCCCACCCUGAUAUUUACAUUUGUGUCAGAAGAUUGUGACAUUUGUCUAAUUUGUGUUUCCAGAAGAAGCAUCAGUAACUCAAGACAAACAGGGCACUUCAAAGCCGCAGCUUAGACGAAAGCAAAACUUACGAGGUAAGCAUGUGGCAUGGCCCUUGCAUGUCCUUUAUUCCCACAUGUACUGUAUGCUAAUUUCUCUAAACUAGCUGUGAGUGGUCAGAGCAUCUAGUAUGCACAGCAGUUCUUGGCAUCUGUACACAUUACACAACAUGCAGAAGGCCAGUCUUGCCCUGUGUAUGAUACCAUUUUGUGUGAACGUUUUCCAGGAGGAGCUUCAGGGACUCAAGAUAAACGCGGCCCUUCAAAGCAGCAGCUGGGAGAAGAGCACAGUUCAGGAGGAGAAGCAUCAGUAACUCAAGACAAACAGGGCACUUCAAAGCCGCAGCUUAGACGAAAGCAAAACUUACGAGGAGGAGCUUCAGGGACUCAAGACAAACGCGGCCCUUCAAAGCAGCAGCUGGGAGAAGAGCACAAUUCAGGGGGUGCAAAAAAGGCCAAGCGAAAAUGGUCAAUGGAGGAAGUGAACACUGUUGAAAACUCGCUAAUGGAUUUCAUCCGAAUGGGGAAGACACCUGGAAAACA